rnacentral:rRNA from 1 species
UACAGAGGGGGCAAGCGUUGUUCGGAAUUACUGGGCGUAAAGGGCGCGUAGGCGGCCUUCUAAGUCGAACGUGAAAUCCCCGGGCUCAACCCGGGAACUGCGUCCGAUACUGGAAGGCUUGAAUCCGGGAGAGGGAUGCGGAAUUCCAGGUGUAGCGGUGAAAUUCGUAGAUAUUCGGAAGAACACCAGUGGCGAAGGCGGACUCACUGGACU